rnacentral:tRNA from 1 species
GCGCCGGUGGUGUAAGGCGUAGCAUUGUCGCCCGGAAAGCGGAAGGUGCGGGUGCGAGUCCUGCCCGACGCA